CUGAGGUUUUAAACUUGGUUCUUCCAUGUAACUUCAUCCCAAGCAUGUGUGCCUUGAUCAUUGGAAGUGUCAUUCUUUCUGGUUUACUGCUUUUGUUCACAUAUUAUAGGUAUGUGUGGGUGUGUAGAUAUAUAUACUGACCUGUUAUCUGAAGGUUAGCUCGUUUCCCAGUCCCUGGAUCUCCCAUACCGAACUUAGGCUGGAUGACACAUGCAGCUUGCAGCCAGCAUCCCAAAUCUAACCUGCAACAUCUCCCGGAACCAGGGAGCUUUCUGUUCUGCUGCUUACAGUGCUUUGUUUGGGAGCAUGCUUGGAAACUCAGCUGUUGUGCUGGAAAACAUUCAGUAUUUGUGUAUCAACAGUGAUGAAGCUAAGAAGCCACUGCAGAUGGAGGAAGCCAAGAUGAGAAGCUGCAACACUUCCAGGGACUUGGCUUGCUGCUCUUCUCAAGGAAAGAGAGUGGUGGGAGACUUUGGACUUCUGGAUGUCACUUGGCAUUGCAUCGGCACUUUGCAAAGACCUAAAGCUCUUUUAUUUUCCCCCCAGUUCUGUACAGUCUCAUUUUCAAAAGCAGCUUGGGCACUUGGCAAUCAUUUCCCUAUGGAAAGCCAAUGGAAACCAGGUUCCUGCGGCCUGCCUCUAUUUUGAAGAUAUCAAUCAAUUUGCUCGCACUGACAUUUUGGGUAAUUAGACAGCUAAUUGGGAUGUGAUCUUCAGAACGGAUCACUUCUGCAAAUGUUACCUCAGACAUUUAAACUCCAGGUGCUUGGUUUGUUUCUCUGAUUCCUCCCAAGUCCAUGACCCUAUUAGGAGGUCACCUGAAAAGAGGAAACAAAUCCUGCCUUUUGGGAGGUCUGGUUUUUGUUCCUUGGUUGUUUGGAUAUUUUUGGCAAGCUGCUGACCCUGCCUGCAUGUCUCUGGUUUGUUUCUAUCCCCAGAGCAGAGCUCUUGGCAUUGCCUUCACUUACCCUGAUGACAUUCUGGAGCAGCGCUUGGCUAUUACAGCUCAAUCCAUGUGCAUCUCCUUUGCUAUUCGCAAACCUUCGCUCUCCUAUUUAAAAGUGUAAAUAGUGACAUGUCCUGGGAAUAAACAAUGAGUUCAGGAAGAGCUGGUAGGCUGG
rnacentral:lncRNA from 1 species